rnacentral:lncRNA from 1 species
AUUCCACGGGGUAGAGCAUAGUACAUACAUAUGUACGUAUAGAACUGUGGGUGUGUUGCCAACCACAACAUGUUUAACUUCAUUUAAGAAAAGGCGAGAGUGGCUACACAAAUUGUUCAGUGUAAAUGGGGAAUGACUGAAGAAGGGCAGGUUUAGCUUAAGAUAUUUUACCUCCAUAUCGAUAAGUGGUCGUCAGCGUCGUUUGCAACGUUCAUGGGAAAAAAGAUCACUGGCAGAACAUCCACAGCGCAUAAUGCAACUCGUGGUCUCUUCGGCAAAAAGUAAAUGAUG